AACAACUCUCAGCAACGGAUAUCUCGGCUCUUGCAUCGAUGAAGAACGCAGCGAAAUGCGAUAAAUGGUGUGAAUUGCAGAAUCCCGUGAACCAUCGAGUCUUUGAACGCAAGUUGCGCCCGAGGCCAUCAGGCCAAGGGCACGCCUGCCUGGGCAUUGCGA
rnacentral:rRNA from 5 species